rnacentral:rRNA from 1 species
UUUAUUGCUGGGAGAUGAGCUUGCGUCUGAUUAGAUAGUAGGCGGGGUAGCGGCCCACCUAGUCGACGAUCGGUAGCCGGACUGAGAGGUUGAACGGCCACAUUGGAACUGAGAUACGGUCCAGACUCCUACGGGAGGCAGCAGUGGGGAAUAUUGGGCAAUGGGCGAAAGCCUGACCCAGCGACGCCGCGUGAGGGAGGAAGAUCUUCGGAUUGUAAACCUUAGUCAACAGGGAAGAGGAAAGUGACGGUACCUGUGGAGGAAGCCACGGCUAACUACGUGCCAGCAGCCGCGGUAAUACGUAGGUGGCGAGCGUUAUCCGGAUUUACUGGGUGUAAAGGGUGUGUAGGCGGGCGUGCAAGUCAGAUGUGAAAACUAUGGGCCUAACCCAUAGCCUGCAUUUGAAACUGUAUGUCUUGAGAGUGGGAGAGGUAAACGGAAUUCCGAGUGUAGCGGUGAAAUGCGUAGAUAUUCGGAGGAACACCAGUGGCGAAGGCGGUUUACUGGACCAUUACUGACGCUGAGACACGAAAGCGUGGGGAGCAAACAGGAUUAGAUACCCUGGUAGUCCACGCCCUAAACGAUGAACACUAGGUGUAGGGGGCAAAGCCUUCUGUGCCGCAGCUAACGCAAUAAGUGUUCCACCUGGGGAGUACGGCCGCAAGGUUGAAACUCAAAGGAAUUGACGGGAGCCCGCACAAGCAGUGGAGUAUGUGGUUUAAUUCGACGCAACGCGAAAAACCUUACCAAGGAUUGACAUCCUAGGAACCCGGCGUAAUGGCUGGGGUGCCUCUUCGGAGGAAUCUAGAGACAGGUGGUGCAUGGUUGUCGUCAGCUCGUGUCGUGAGAUGUUGGGUUAAGUCCCGCAACGAGCGCAACCCUUACUGUUAGUUGCUACGCAAGAGCACUCUGGCAGGACUGCCGUUGACAAAACGGAGGAAGGUGGGGACGACGUCAAAUCAUCAUGCCCCUUAUAUCUUGGGCUACACACGUACUACAAUGGCGCAGAACAAAGGGCAGCAACCCCGCGAGGGCAAGCGAAUCCCAGAAAAUGCGUCCCAGUUCGGACUGCAGGCUGCAACUCGCCUGCACGAAGUUGGAAUUGCUAGUAAUCGUCCC